rfam:Candidatus Riesia pediculischaeffi PTST contig_123, whole genome shotgun sequence.
GGAGUCAACUAGACAAUCGCUGUUAUAGAAAUUUAAAACAGAGGAAAGUCCAGGCUCCUUUGGGCGAGGUGCCAGAGAGACGGCAGUCGAUCUGGGAAGUGUGAACUUACGAAAAGUGCAUCAGAAAAGAACCGCCAUUAUUGGUAAGGGUGAAAAGGUGCGGUAAUAGCGCACCGCAUGAUAUGGUAACAUUUCAUGGCAGUGUAAACUCCACCUGGAGCAAGGCCAAAAUAGGUGAUAUGCCCUAAUUAUAACCAUGGUAGGCCGCUAAAAAUCGAUCUCGAUCGAUAGAUAAAUGAUUGUCCUAGACAGAACCUGGCUUAUAGGUUGACUCCAAUU